AUGGCCGGAAGGAAGGGCGGCGACAGGAAGAAGGCGGUGACCCGCUCCGUCAAGGCCGGGCUCCAGUUCCCCGUCGGCCGCAUCGGGCGCUACCUGAAGAAGGGCCGCUACGCACAGCGCGUCGGCUCCGGCGCCCCCGUCUACCUCGCCGCCGUCCUCGAGUACCUCGCCGCCGAGGUCCUGGAGCUUGCAGGCAACGCUGCCAAGGACAACAAGAAGACGCGCAUCAUCCCGCGCCACCUGCUUCUUGCCGUCCGCAACGACCAGGAGCUCGGCAGGCUGCUCGCCGGCGUGACCAUCGCCCACGGCGGCGUGAUCCCCAACAUCAACUCCGUGCUGCUCCCCAAGAAGUCCGCCGCCGCCGAGAAGGAGGCCAAGUCGCCCAAGAAGAAGGCCGCCACCAAGUCCCCCAAGAAGAAGGCCGCCGCCGCCAAGGAGUAG
rnacentral:rRNA from 1 species